UAGUCAGUGAGGAAGGUGGGUAGUGUUAAUUAGCAUAUUCAUUUGACGUUAGCUGCAGAAGAAGCACCGGCUAACUCCGUGCCAGCAGCCGCGGUAAUACGGAGGGUGCGAGCGUUAAUCGGAAUUACUGGGCGUAAAGCGCAUGCAGGUGGUUUGUUAAGUCAGAUGUGAAAGCCCGGGGCUCAACCUCGGAAUUGCAUUUGAAACUGGCAAACUAGAGUACUGUAGAGGGGGUAGAAUUUCAGGUGUAGCGGUGAAAUGCGUAGAGAUCUGAAGGAAUACCGGUGGCGAAGGCGGCCCCCUGGACAGAUACUGACACUCAGAUGCGAAAGCGUGGGGAGCAAACAGGAUUAGAUACCCUGGUAG
rnacentral:rRNA from 1 species